GAAAAAAUAACAAAAUAAAACAAAAGAGGUUCAUGCAAAAAAUAAAAAGAAGGUUGGUGGUGAAGUCUGAGACGGCCUAAAACUAUCUACCAAACGAUGGUGAUCCAAGCAACUAUAAAAAGCAUGGCUUUGUGGGUAUUUCAGAGCAGACGGAGCUUCACCUCCAACUACAAAAUCCAAAUAUUUCAACCAUGUUUGCCCUGUUCUUCAUGUUGUUUACCACCAUCAUCGCACCACUAAUUCCAACCCUCUCUUCACAACCUCCACCACCACUAGUUCCAACCCUCUCUUCACAACCACCACCACAACUACCCGACUCCAAAUUUCCCUCCCUUACUCCGCCUCCACCACCAACAGUGCCAGCAUAUGAGUCGCUACCAGAUUACAACAUAUGGACUCCACCAAGUGAACCACAACCAGUAUCCGCGCGGUUCGUGCUGGGGUGUAUCUUGGUUCUAUUAACAUCAAUCGCCUUAAUCGCAGUGACGAUUUACUUUAUCCGGCGAAAAGGGAAGAAAGGGGACCAAGGGCCGAAAGGGGACAAAGGUGAGAAAGGGGAGAAAGGGCCGAAAGGGGAUCAAGGGCCGCAAGGGGAGCGAGGGCUGCCAGGGAAGUCAGCCUGCCACGGCUGACAGGGCCGCCCCGGCUUCCAGGGCGGCUGCCAGUGCCGUAGUAGCUGCCAGGAAAAGACAGGAGGGUGGUAACUGAUGUGCAUGUGCGAAUAUUGUGGAAUCAGCCAUCAUCUAAUAGCAAAGAUUGAUGUCAAAGUUUUAAAUUGAAGAUUGCAAAUGCAAGUUAUAUUCAGUCGUGGGUUUGCCAUGAGCUUUGAACAUUGGUUCUGAUGUGAUGUGCUUGUGUGGUUUGAAAUAGUUGUUUUAAUUUGAAAUUGUAAUAUUUUGGCUUAUAAAUAAGGUUAGUGGUAUUUGUGGAAGUUUGGAGGUUAGUAUUUGUAAAUGAUUUGCGUUUCAGGGAUUAAUUUUGUUUUGGUGUUUGGAUUUCAUUGUAAAUUGUGUUUGUUUUGAUAAUAAAUCAAACAAAUAGGAAAAAGCUUGUU